ACAAAUACCACAACAAAAUUCAAUAGCAAUUUCAUCCCACAACUUAAGAUGUCAUCAAAACCCUGAUAGUAGCUUCAAACCUUAGUUUUUAUACAUGCAUGUGUAAUUUUCUUCAUAUCUCACAAACUAAGCACUUAAAUGCCACAAUAUUUUUAUAUAUAGCUUUUUAUCACAAUAAUCUACCUUUUCUAAAAGUUUUUAGUUAAUAAUUUAUUGAAAAACUUAAGAUAUGGCUCCAACCAUUACUAUGAAGAAAAUCACUUACUUACUGCCUUUGAUUUG
rnacentral:lncRNA from 1 species